UUUAUAUAAAGAGAGUUGGAACUUUAAAAAUAUAAAUUGAUAUAACCAUAUCUAUAUUACAGAGAAAACAAAUAUGGCUGAAGUUAUGAAAUUUGUUUAUAUUAUAAUUCUCUUUAUUUCUAUAUUUUUGGUGCAAUUCAACCAUGGAAGUAAUAGAUUUGGACAAACUGGUAAAUGUGUAAAAGAUGCUGAUUGUACAAGUUUUUUUGUGCGGUGCCCACCACCACGGGUAGUGAAGUGUAAUACUAAACGAUGCAGAUGUGUUAGAUUGGUGUCUCUUAUUAAUAAUGUUCACAUAUGAUUCUAAAUUUAAUUUGGUAUUCAAGAGAGUAUACAAAUUCUCUUCAAGAAUAAUUAACACUCUUCAAAAAUAAACUAGGAAGGUUCAUGAUUCACUGAAACAAAUUAUAUUUAUGAUUCUGUUUAAUUUACAAUAAUGACUUCAAUAAAAAUUUAGUUAGCUAUUAAAAUGGUUUUCAUUUGAUUUAAAAUUAGUUUAAAAUCAAUUUAUAUUUACAACUUAAUCUUUCAAGAAAUCUUAUUCAUCAAAUAAUUUAUUAUAAAAUUAUAAUUCAAUUCAAUUCAAUUUAGAAUUUAACCCUUAAUUUGUGUAUUCAUUUGCUAAUAUAUGUAAUGUAUUGAACAUAAAAUUCUUAAAUAAUGAAUAAUAUUUUUAAUAUUACAUGAUUAUUAAUCAGUAUAUGAUUUGAUGGAUUUGAGGGCAUUGUUUUUCUUUAUUGAAUGGUACUGUUUUUGCUUCAUUUUUCACUUGUGAAGAUGUUCAAAAUUUGGCUAUUAAGAUGGUUCAUACUAAGAACAUUUGGUAUUUUCAUAGAUUUAUAAAUUUAUUGAGUUAGUUUUGAUAUUACCGGUGUCGACAACAUUCGUUGAAACAGUCUUUUCAGCAAUGAAGUUUAGCAAGUCUAAAUUGUGCAAUAAGAUCAUUCACCGUAAAAAAAUCAAAUCACUUGAAGAUAUUGAUAUUAUUCGAACAUUCACCGAAAAAAAUCUCGGAAAAGAUAUUUUCCUCGUAAUUUUAUUUAACACCCUAUUAUAAAGUUAUCUUUCAUCUCUUUUAUUUUUUUAUAAUUAUUUAUAUAUUAUAUACAAUAAUUUACUAUAUUUAAAUUUUUAUUUAAACUUUAUAACUUUUCUGACUUCGUCACAAUAUAUAAAGAAAUAAAAACUAAUGAAGUAUGCAAUAUUUGAAAGUUAAAUUUUAUCCAACAAAACACUCCAUUAAUAAUUAAUUUAUAAAAUGUCUUCUUACAACAUUAUUUAAAUUUCUUUCACAUCAUGAAAGGUUUGCACUAUUUAGAAAAAUCGGUUAUUUUCUUAAUCUAAAAAGAUUAUUAAAUAUGCUAGAGGGACAAAUGUAUUUGAAUUUUUUUUAAUAAUUAUUCUAAUUUUAAGAACGGCUUUUUAAAAGCUUAUAAACAUAAUGUACAAUAUUAUUUUAAUUUAUGUAAAGAGAGUUGGAAUUUUAAAAGAUAUAAAUUGAUAAGAACCAUUUCUGUAUUACAAAGAAAAAAAUAUGGCUCAAGUUAUGAAGUUUUUUUAUAUUAUAAUGAUUUUUAUUUCUAUAUUUCUGGUGCAAUUCAACCAUGGAAGUAAUAGCUUUGGAAGAGCUGGUAAAUGUGAAAAAGAUUCUGAUUGUACAAGUUAUUUUGUGCAGUGCCCACCACCACGGAACGGGAUGGAUGUGUAAAAGAUGCUGAUUGUACAAGUUUUUUUAUGCGGUGCCCAUCACCACUGGAGCUGAUAAAUGUGAAAAAGAUUCUGAUUGUACAAGUUAUUUUGUGCGGUGCCCACCACCACGGAUAGUGAAGUGUAAUAAUAAACGAUGCAGAUGUGAUAGUAUUAUAUCUCUUAUUAGAAAUGUUCACAUAUAAUUCUAAUAAAUUUAAUUUGGUAAUCAAGAGAGUAUACAAAUUCUCUUCAAGAAUAAUGAAUACUUUUUGAGAGUAAACUAUUGUCAUACCCGUGCGAAAGCACGAAUACCUAUUUUGUCACGUUUAUUUUGUUUAAUAUUGUAUUUUUUUUAAUAGAAAAAGGUUAUUUUGAUUCAUCAAUCAAUAACUUCAUAUUCUCAUUAUCAUUUGAUAUUUUGAUCAAUAAUUUUAAAUUACCGUUAAUAUCCAAUAUUUUGAUCU